GGGUGCGAUCAUGCCAAAACUGAUGAUCGGAUCUCAUCAGAACUCCGCAAUUAAGCGUGCUUGGGCGAGAGUAGUACUAGGAUGGGUGACCCCCUGGGAAGUCCUCGUGUUGCACUCC